rnacentral:rRNA from 1 species
UACGGGGGGGGCAAGCGUUGUUCGGAAUUACUGGGCGUAAAGGGCUCGUAGGCGGCCAACUAAGUCAGACGUGAAAUCCCCAGACUCAACCUGGGAACUGCGUCUGAUACUGGAUGGCUUGAAUCCGGGAGAGGGAUGCAGAAUUCCGGGUGUAGCGGUGGAAUGCGUAGAGAUCCGGAAGAACACCGGUGGCGAAGGCGGCCCGCUGGGCAGGAAGGCUCGCAAGAGCCGGCUGACGCUGAGGCGCGACAGCGUGGGGAGCAAACAGG